AAGAGUUUGUUUUGGAUGUUUGUAAUAAUGUUAGGGACACCGGUUCUGCGUUGGAAAUUUUGAACAAGAAAUGCCCCAAAUUGAGAUUGUUGAAGUUGGGGCAAUUCCAUGGUGUUUCUAUGCCAAUUGAAUCAAAGUUGGAUGGGGUGGCUCUUUGUGAAGGGCUUCAAUCGUUGUCGAUAAGGAAUGUGGGGGAUUUGAAUGAUAUGGGUUUGAUAGCUAUAGGUAGAGGGUGUUCGAGGUUGACCAAGUUUGAGAUUCAAGGUUGUAAGAAGAUUACUAUGAGGGGCAUGAGGACACUAGCCUCUUUGCUU
rnacentral:misc_RNA from 1 species